ensembl:lncRNA
UUUUUUUUUUUUUGAGACAGUGUCUCGCUCUGUCACCCAGACUGGAGUGCAGUGGCACAAUCUCCGCUCACUGUAACCUCUGCCUCACAGGUUCAAGCAAUUCUCCUGCCUCAGCCUCCCAAGUAGCUGGGAUUACAGUCAUGGAGUCAUCAAAUCUCAGGCUACUGGAUUUUAUUUUCCCAGCCUCUCUUUUGGCCAGAUGUGGCCACAUGGUAGGUCCAGGCCAAGGACCCAUAAGCAGAAGUGCUGGGUGGGGUUCCAGGGACACUCUCUCAAGGGAGCUAACUCAGAUGGGAGCUCUACUCCUUUCUUCUUUCUGCUGCCCGGAACUCAGAUGUGAUGGCUGAACUCCAGCAGCCAGGUUAGACCAUGAGGUGUCCUCGGGAAGGGAAAUGGCACACUAGGAUGGUAGAGCUGAAAGACUGAAGAAGGAGCAAGGUCCCUGGUGCCUGUGAAGCCCCCAUACAGCCUCAGACUACUCACUUCCAGACUUCUUUUAUGAGAAAGACAAAGAAACUUCUAUGCUCUGUAAGACACACUUAUUCUGGACUUUCUAUUACAAGCAGUCGAAUGUAUUCCUAUCUGAAAGAGAUGCAGUAGCAGAAACAACCUCAGUCUCUGGAGACUCAAUGCCUAUGAAAGGUGUCAUUGAGAGGUGAAGAUAUCUAGCAUAGCCUUAGAAUUCUCCCUGGGACCAUGGCCUCAUAACUGUAAAUGUCCAGUAUGCGGGGCCCGAGUACUUUAUUAUUUUUUUUUUAGAGAUGGGGUCUCACUAUGUUGCCCAGGCUGGAUUCAAACUCUUGGGCUCAACGGAUUCUUCCACCUCAACCUCCCAAGUAGCUGGGACGACAGCUGCAUGCCACCAGGCCCAGCCCACGUCUUUUAAAGACCACUUGGCUGUGGGGUCUCCACUACAGACCUAUAAAAGAAAUGAGAGAGCACUUGCCCCACCUUUAUGGGAGUGGCUCCUUGAAGGAGUGGACAGGUGCCAGCUAGUCCAGACAGGAGAGGAGCUGCACUCUGCAAAGUGUUGCCAUAAAACCAUGUCAUAAUAUGUGAGAUGGGAAAAGCAAUAUGUCUGCAUCAAAGCAUUUCAUGUCGUAUGUAAUCGUAAAUGUGUGUAUGUGCAACUAGAUCAGUGAGUUGGACUAGAUAAGUAGAUGUCUCACAAUUUCAUCUAUGUCCCCGCAAGUUCAUGUGUUCAGGCUCGCUGCUCAUUACUCAAACUCCUUUUGAAGCUUCUCUUCGGGAAAAUAGGCACCCACCACCAUCUAUUCAGGAUCACCAGGUGUAUUAGGCAAGCCUGGGCAAUGGCUGUCUUGCAGAAUAGGUGUGUAUCCCCCUUGCAUGACUGCAAAGACUGGUUUUGUUAAAUAAUAUAUUUGUUUGAAAAAGCAAUCACAUUAUUUUAUUAUUGGUAGCAUUUGAUAAAUCCUAAUCAUGUGGAUAAUUCUAAUAAUAUAUUCUAAUCACGUGGAUUCUUAUGAUAGCCUAAUGAUAGCGAUGAUGACGUUCUAGUGAUGAACGUAACAAUCUAUUCUAAUCGUGCAGGUGUCCUGUUGGUACGAGAUGCCCUGUGAAAGCAUCUUUGAUCUUCUCGCCUUGGAUUUUAACUUGACACCUGUCCCUAAUGGGUCAUUCACGGGUCUUCGAUAGAACGGCCGCUGGUCACCUCCUGAAGUGGUUCUUACUGGGGUCAGAUAACUCAGGCCCAGUUCUUCCAGCAUCUCAAGCCAUGUGCUUCCACAAGCAUGGUAUUGAUAACAUGUGCUCUAGGCAUUGCCUGAACCCUGACAUGAUGGCCACACCAACUUCUGGAACUCUUGGGAGUGGGAUCCUUCAGCAAGAGUAGAUCUGGCCCCAGUCAGCCUUCC